AGGGUUUGAUCAUGGCUCAGGACGAACGCUGGCGGCGUGCUUAACACAUGCAAGUCGAACGAACUCGGACUUCGGUCCAUAUGGGUGAGUGGCGAACGGGUGAGUAACACGUGAGAAACCUGCCCCGAAGUCGGGAAUAACUCAGAGAAAUUUGAGCUAAUACCGGAUGCCCUCUUCUGAUCGCAUGAUCGGAUGAGGAAAGAUUUAUCGCUUUGGGAGGGUCUCGCGACCUAUCAGCUAGUUGGCGAGGUAAUGGCUCACCAAGGCAUCGACGGGUAGCUGGUUUGAGAGAACGAUCAGCCACACUGGAACUGAGACACGGUCCAGACUCCUACGGGAGGCAGCAGUGGGGAAUCUUGCACAAUGGGCGAAAGCCUGAUGCAGCGACGCCGCGUGGGGGAUGAAGGCCUUAGGGUCGUAAACCCCUUUCAGUAGGGAAGAAAAUGACGGUACCUACAGAAGAAGCUCCGGCCAACUACGUGCCAGCAGCCGCGGUAAGACGUAGGGGGCGAGCGUUGUCCGGAUUUAUUGGGCGUAAAGGGCUCGUAGGCGGUUACGUAAGUCGGAUGUGAAAACUCGAGGCUCAACUUCGAGACGCCAUCCGAUACUGCGUUGACUUGAGUCCGGUAGAGGAGUGUGGAAUUCCUAGUGUAGCGGUGAAAUGCGCAGAUAUUAGGAGGAACACCUAUUGCGAAGGCAGCACUCUGGGCCGGUACUGACGCUGAGGAGCGAAAGCAUGGGUAGCAAACAGGAUUAGAUACCCUGGUAGUCCAUGCCGUAAACGGUGGGCACUAGAUGUGGGGACUUUCAACGGUUUCCGUGUCGUAGCUAACGCAUUAAGUGCCCCGCCUGGGGAGUACGGCCGCAAGGCUAAA
rnacentral:rRNA from 1 species